rnacentral:rRNA from 1 species
AUUGAACGCUGGCGGCAGGCUUAACACAUGCAAUUCUAGCGAGCGGCGGACGGGUGAGUAAUGUCUGGGAAACUGCCUGAUGGAUGGGGAUAACUACUGGAAACGGUAGCUAAUACCGCAUACCAUCAGAUGUGCCCAGAUGGGAUUAGCUAGUAGGUGGGGUAAUGGCUCACCUAGGCGACGAUCCCUAGCUGGUCUGAGAGGAUGACCAGCCACACUGUGACUACGACACGGUCCAGACUCCUACGGGAGGCAGCAGUGGUGAAUAUUGCACAAGGGGCGCAAGCCUGAUGCAGCCAUGCCGCGUGUGUGAAGAAGGCCUUAGGGUUGUAAAGCACUUUCAGCGAGGAGGCGUUACUCGGAGAAGAAGCACCGGCUAACUCAGUGCCAGCAGGCGCGGUAAUAC